rnacentral:sRNA from 1 species
UAAUGAUAAUAGUUACCUGUUGCAGAGGU